CGAGAUGUAGGAGGAGGAGGACGACGACAAGGAGGAGGAGGUAGGAGUGGGGAGGGUCGUGGAGGAGGGCGCGGGCGGCUUCUGCGCGGAUGGGAGCGUCGAGAAGGAGGGAGCGGAUGGCCGAUGGGAGAGAAGGAAAGGGUGCAUGGGUUUUGGGGAGGAUGCGGAUGGUGAAGGCAAAGAUGUGGAGGCUAGAGGAACCGAGAAGCAUUAAAAUGAAUAAAUUUCUUCUUAGUUACCAAAAUCAAGUGAUAGCUCAAUAGUUUGUCUGCUGCUUUGGUACUUGUACACCAUGGUUCGAUUUAGUGAUGCAUCACAAUUUUUUUUUGCUUUUUUUCAUUUUAUUCCUAAAUUUUUGCCAGUUUUUUAUUCCUAAUUUUUUUGCUUAUACAAUUCCAAUAUAUAUUUUCUUAAGUUCUAACACAAUGUGUAUGAGUGAAUGCUAUAGGUUUCAAU
rnacentral:lncRNA from 1 species